rnacentral:rRNA from 1 species
AUUGAACGCUGGCGGCAGGCCUAACACAUGCAAGUCGAGCGGUAGCACAGAGAGCUUGCUCUCGGGUGACGAGCGGCGGACGGGUGAGUAAUGUCUGGGAAACUGCCUGAUGGAGGGGGAUAACUACUGGAAACGGUAGCUAAUACCGCAUAACGUCGCAAGACCAAAGUGGGGGACCUUCGGGCCUCAUGCCAUCAGAUGUGCCCAGAUGGGAUUAGCUAGUAGGUGGGGUAACGGCUCACCUAGGCGACGAUCCCUAGCUGGUCUGAGAGGAUGACCAGCCACACUGGAACUGAGACACGGUCCAGACUCCUACGGGAGGCAGCAGUGGGGGAUAUUGCACAAUGGGCGCAAGCCUGAUGCAGCCAUGCCGCGUGUGUGAAGAAGGCCUUCGGGUUGUAAAGCACUUUCAGCGGGGAGGAAGGCGAUAAGGUUAAUAACCUUGUCGAUUGACGUUACCCGCAGAAGAAGCACCGGCUAACUCCGUGCCAGCAGCCGCGGUAAUACGGAGGGUGCAAGCGUUAAUCGGAAUUACUGGGCGUAAAGCGCACGCAGGCGGUCUGUCAAGUCGGAUGUGAAAUCCCCGGGCUCAACCUGGGAACUGCAUUCGAAACUGGCAGGCUAGAGUCUUGUAGAGGGGGGUGGAAUUCCAGGUGUAGCGGUGAAAUGCGUAGAGAUCUGGAGGAAUACCGGUGGCGAAGGCGGCCCCCUGGACAAAGACUGACGCUCAGGUGCGAAAGCGUGGGGAGCAAACAGGAUUAGAUACCCUGGUAGUCCACGCCGUAAACGAUGUCGAUUUGGAGGUUGUGCCCUUGAGGCGUGGCUUCCGGAGCUAACGCGUUAAAUCGACCGCCUGGGGAGUACGGCCGCAAGGUUAAAACUCAAAUGAAUUGACGGGGGCCCGCACAAGCGGUGGAGCAUGUGGUUUAAUUCGAUGCAACGCGAAGAACCUUACCUGGUCUUGACAUCCACAGAACUUUCCAGAGAUGGAUUGGUGCCUUCGGGAACUGUGAGACAGGUGCUGCAUGGCUGUCGUCAGCUCGUGUUGUGAAAUGUUGGGUUAAGUCCCGCAACGAGCGCAACCCUUAUCCUUUGUUGCCAGCGGUUAGGCCGGGAACUCAAAGGAGACUGCCAGUGAUAAACUGGAGGAAGGUGGGGAUGACGUCAAGUCAUCAUGGCCCUUACGACCAGGGCUACACACGUGCUACAAUGGCAUAUACAAAGAGAAGCGACCUCGCGAGAGCAAGCGGACCUCAUAAAGUAUGUCGUAGUCCGGAUUGGAGUCUGCAACUCGACUCCAUGAAGUCGGAAUCGCUAGUAAUCGUAGAUCAGAAUGCUACGGUGAAUACGUUCCCGGGCCUUGUACACACCGCCCGUCACACCAUGGGAGUGGGUUGCAAAAGAAGUAGGUAGCUUAACCUUCGGGAGGGCGCUUACCACUUUGUGAUUCAUGACUGGGGUGA